AGAGUUUGAUCUGGCUCAGGACGAACGCGGCGGCGUGCCUAACACAUGCAAGUCGAGCGGGAACCUCAGGAGGGGUAACCCUUCUGAGGGGAGAGCGGCGAACGGGUGAGUAACACGUGGGCAACCUGCCCCGGACACCGGGAUAACCCAGGGAAACCUGAGCUAAUACCGGAUACUCCGGCGCGAUCGCAUGGUCGCGCCGGGAAAGCUCCGACGGUCCGGGAUGGGCCCGCGGCCUAUCAGCUUGUUGGUGGGGUAACGGCCCACCAAGGCGACGACGGGUAGCUGGUCUGAGAGGACGGCCAGCCACACUGGGACUGAGACACGGCCCAGACUCCUACGGGAGGCAGCAGUGGGGGAUCUUGCGCUAAUGCGCGAAAGCGUGACGCAGCGACGCCGCGUGGGGGAUGAAGGCCUUCGGGUUGUAAACCCCUUUCGGCAGGGACGAAGGGAAACUGACGGUACCUGCAGAAGAAGUCCCGGCUAACUACGUGCCAGCAGCCGCGGUA
rnacentral:rRNA from 1 species